rnacentral:rRNA from 1 species
GGAGUUAGCCGGUGCUUCUUCUGUGAGUGAUGUCCUUCCUGCCGGCUAUUAACCCGCAGGCCUUCUUCCUCACUGAAAGUGCUUUACAACCCGAAGGCCUUCUUCACACACGCGGCAUGGCUGGAUCAGGGUUGCCACCAUUGUCCAAUAUUCCCCACUGCUGCCUCCCGUAGGAGUCUGGGCCGUGUCUCAGUCCCAGUGUGGCUGAUCAUCCUCUCAGACCAGCUACGGAUCGUCGCCUUGGUGAGCCGUUACCUCACCAACCAGCUAAUCCGACAUAGGCUCAUCCGAUAGCGCGAGGCCCGAAGGUCCCCCGCUUUCCCCCGUAGGGCGUAUGCGGUAUUAGCCUGGGUUUCCCCAGGUUAUCCCCCACUACCGGGCAGAUUCCUAUGCAUUACUCACCCGUCCGCCGCUCGCCACCAGGGAGCAAGCUCCCCGUGCUGCCGCUCGACUUGCAUGUGUUAGGCCUGCCGCCAGCGUUCAAUCUGAGCCAGGAUCAAACUCUGA